CAGGGUAUAGUUGAGCUAAUAAAAUUUUUCACUUACACCGAAAAGACGUCUGUGUAAAUCAGACUACCCUGA
rnacentral:tRNA from 1 species